rnacentral:lncRNA from 1 species
GCAUCGGUUGGCCAAAAAAUCACAGAAAAUUCUAACCUACCAAUGGGGGGGGGUCUCUAGGUGCAGUGGCUCCGAUGGUCCUCCUUCGCGGCUGGGGUUCCUUCUUGGCUAACCUGCACAAAAAAGACAGUAAACAAAAUGAUUAAAAAAUUGCAUGAAAUGGGAAGCAAGAAGGGGCUCAACAGAGGGAUUUUAGGGUUUCCGCAGUCGCGGCUCUACCGGGUUUUGCCCGCAGUUUUCAGUUUACCCACUGUCCCUCUUACUUCGAUUUAGCCACAGGGAUGCUUAUAAUUGAAUUUCGAGUGGAUAGGGAAAAAUUUUACCUUUUUUAGUAGUCAGCGAUGGCUCUAGUGCAGCAGGAUUUGGCAGUCGGGCUCCUUCUUUGGUGUCUGGUUCUUCUUCUCUGGCGGGGCUGGUGGCUAGGGUUUGGGUUCUCCUGCGACGUGAGGUAUUUAUACCCAUCCGACAUCGAUCUAGACCGUUCAUC